GGUAAACCACACAUGCAUGUGUACUGAGUUUAAUCUCAAAUUAAGGUGUAUACAUUUUAUUAUUACAUUCAGUGUCUAAAAAGGACGACUGAUUCUGAGUAGAUAUAGGUGUCUCUUUUAAAACCAUCCAAGUGAUAAAUUAAACUACAAAGCUGCUACUCCAAGAAAUCGUCGCUGGACCAGACAACUACAAGCCGUAAGUUGUUGUCAAGUGUCUUGUUAGCUAAACCCUGACCAGCCAGGCCUCUUUAUUGCUGUUUCUAAAAUUGGAAAAUUAUAGUUUAUGAAGUGUGAAGCGAGUCCAGAACUAAUAUCUAUCGUAACAGACUAUUGCAACAAAACCAUGGUCAAAGUAGAAGAAGUAUAUGAACAGCUUAAAAUGAACCGUACCAAAGCCGAUGAAGAACAAACAAAAUUGACUUUCAAUGAAAAGGCAGAAAUUGAUGUAAAUACUCAGACUGAAUCUCAACGAUAAUUGACAGCAAUACAUACAAUGUUAACAAACCGGGAGAUUAUUACCACCAGGUCAGAGAAUCGUAUAACGUUUCCUCAACAACAGAGAACGGAAUUCAAGAAACAUUUGACGGCAAUACUUAUAAUAUAAGAGGAACGAUUGUGAAAAUAGAAGCAGAUAUAGUGGAAUGAAAUUAUUUCGAGUCUGUGAUAGAAGUUGAAAAAAAAGACUUUUUGGAUACUCAAAUAUCGAACUACGAUUUGGAUAAAAUUCGGACAUUUAUUUGCGACCUUUGCCAAGAAUUGUUUACUUCUAAAAGAAAUGUGGCCCAUCAUAUUAAUAAAUCGCACAGAAUCCAGAAACCUACUAAAAAACAUGUCGUUAGAAAUACACUAUGCAAUAAAAUGGUUUCGAAGAAAAUCGGUAUGAAAUCAAAAAAACGGCGAUCGUUUCAUUGUCAUUUGUGUCAAAUUUCGUACUUUACUAAAAAGCAAAUAACAUUACAUAUAACAGAAGUCCACCAAAGUUCAACAAACAAAACCAUUCCUCGAAAAUCUAAAUCAAAAUUUUGCAAUCAUACACUACAUGAACGCGUGUACAUUGGAGAGAAGCCAUUCAAAUGUAAUACGGGCAAAAAAAAAAUUUCUCAAAACGCUCAAUUUUCAAAACAUGAACGCAAACACACCAUUGAAAAGUCCUACAAAUGUGAUGUUUGCAAAAAUACUUUUUCUCGAAAAGCUCACCUUACACAACAUGAACGCGCACACACUGGUGAAAAGCCCUACCAAUGUGAUGUUUGCAAAAAGACUUUUUCUCAAACCUCUAAUCUUACACAACACAAACGUCUGCACACCGGUGAAAAGCCCUACAAAUGUGAUGUUUGUUAAAAUAGUUUUUCUAUUAAACGUCAUCUUAUAGCUCACAAACGUAUACACACCGGCGAAUAGCCUUAUAAACGUGAUGUUUCAAAAAUACUUUUUCCCAUUAAAGUAACCUUAAACUACAUAAAUGCGUGCACACUGGUGAGAAGCCAUUCAAAUGUGUAUUGUACAAAAAGACCUUCUAAAAAAGGAAAACUUGCGAAACAUGCAAGCGUUCGCUUGCAUGCAAAUAAAAGACCUUAGACAUUGUGCUUAAAGAUUUUGCUCAACUCAGAUUAUUUAAUCACUCGGACUUUUUUAUAUAUUUUUUACUUUGUUUUUGGAAUAGUCAUAUAAGGUCAUAUACCUAAUUUAUAGUCAAAUUGCCAGUUGCCUACUAAUAUGUGGCAAUUAAUAUUGUGAAUGUCUGUAUGAACAGUUACUAUUUUCAUUCUUAUUAUAUCAAAAUGUAUUUAAAUUUUAGUAUUAUUACAUAUGAAUACAAUGUUAAUUUUUUUUUUUAAUUAUAUUUAUUGAUUGGGUUUAAAUUUUGUAUGGUAAUGAUGUGUCUUAUUGUCUUAAUUAUUACUUUAAGUUAUGUAAAUAGUAAAUAGUUUAAAAAAAAUAAUAGGUAUAUUAUAUGAGAGGCAACCUAUAACAAUCGAGCUACACUGUAUUACAUUAUUAUAUCAGCUUACUAUUUAUAUUUGGUGUUCAUGCUAAUUUAUAAUUUUUAUUGUGACAAUUGGUUGUUGUUGCUAUAAGGAAAUCACCAAAAAUGUACAACGAUUUUUUUUGAAACUAAAGUAAUGAAAAAAGACAAGUUUAAGUAUAGUUAAUUUUGUGAUAACCAUCAAU